rnacentral:lncRNA from 1 species
UGCAGAAGAAAUUUGGUGUAGAAUUGUUUGCAGGUGUAGACCUGACUGUAGAGGACGCUUCACUGAAGAAUCUGGUGGAUAAAGAGUAUUUUUUAUACAGCCUCCAAUGGCUUCGGUAAGUGGAUCUAUUUUUUUUUUUGAACAAAAAGUGGAUCUAUGAUAUCUUAUGGAAAAGGGUACUUGAUACUAGGAUUUCUAGUGUAGAAUAUAUAACUUAGGAGACACAGAGAGAUUUGUGUGAGAGGUAAAUCUAAAACGAAAACUGUGAUUGAGAAUUUAAAGGGUAGCAACUCGUUUACAAAAAAGGUAAGAGAAUGUGUUUGUUGCUAACACGAAUUAUUUCUGUCAACUAUUUUGUUAACGGCUAUUCCUGAAGUUGAUUGUGUAAGGAAGGCAUUAUCUGAUAAGAGGAAGGGUAGGAUGCUGGACACUGUCGAUCAUGGAAAGCACUUUCUGAACUUGGAGCUGGGUUCAGGUUCAGGUUCACACACCCAGCAAUUUGGAACGGCUGAUGUCCUACCAAACGACGACGGUUCUGAUGAUUAUGGGAUUCUAGGUAUUUAGCAAACAGGCUAACAUUUUCAAUAGUUGCUAAUUUCUAUAUUACCUGAUAAUGUUUAUAUGUAGGUGAUACUUGAAUACGUUAACUAAUACUUGUGUCCAUGUUAUUUAUCAGAUGGAAUUGUCAGCCUUAUAUGGCUUGGCGUUAUGUACACUAAUGUC